GGCUCAGGAUGAACGCUGGCGGCGUGCCUAACACAUGCAAGUCGAGCGAGAAUCUGUCGGAAGAAGCUUCGGUGGAAACUGACAGAGGAAAGCGGCGGACGGGUGAGUAACGCGUGAGUAACCUGCCCUUGAGAGGAGGAUAACACAUCGAAAGGUGUGCUAAUACUGCAUAACAUACAUUUGCCGCAUGACAGAUGUAUCAAAGAUUUAUCGCUCAAGGAUGGACUCGCGUCUGAUUAGAUAGUAGGUAGGGUAACGGCCUACCUAGUCUGCGAUCAGUAGCCGAACUGAGAGGUUGAUCGGCCACAUUGGGACUGAGACACGGCCCAGACUCCUACGGGAGGCAGCAGUGGGGAAUAUUGCGCAAUGGGGGAACCCUGACGCAGCAACGCCGCGUGAAGGAAGAAGGUCUUCGGAUUGUAAACUUUUGUCUUAUGGGACGAAAAAGGACGGUACCAUAGGAGGAAGCCACGGCUAACUACGUG
rnacentral:rRNA from 1 species